rnacentral:rRNA from 1 species
UACGAGGGGGGCGAGCGUUGUUCGGAAUUAUUGGGCGUAAAGGGUGCGUAGGCGGCCUGACAAGUCUGAUGUGAAAUCCCUGGGCUCAACCCAGGGCCUGCAUCGGAAACUGUCGGGCUUGAGUAUGGGAGAGGUGAGUGGAAUUUCCGGUGUAGCGGUGAAAUGCGUAGAUAUCGGAAGGAACACCUGUGGCGAAAGCGGCUCACUGGACCAUUACUGACGCUGAGGCACGAAAGCCAGGGGAGCGAACGGG